ACACAGCUGAGGCCACAAGCCUGCACAUACCACCUGUGUGGAACCGCGGGGUGUGUCACCCUAAGCCGACGAACAGACACAUUGUGACGGCGGCCGUGGUGCGUUCCCUCUCCCAGCGAGCUGGGUGGUUCACCUGUGUGGUGACCGCGGGGUGUGUCACCCUAAGCCGACUAACAGACACAAUGUGACGGCGGCCGUGGUGCGUUCCCUCUCCCAGCGAGCUGGGUGGUUCACACACUGUGAUCGACAAGCGCCCAAUGUGGAAUCAACUGCGGUAAGCUAAAGGUUCUACGGGACUAUUUAAAGGCCUCCACCGUCGUAGUCGUUGCAUUCAUGGUACCGACUUCAUUUUUUUUCUCUUUUUUUGCCAAAGACUGUGCCUGACACACAGCCACAACAGAUCCUCGCCCACCAUCGGGUUUCCCUUUUCAAAUCGCUGUACUUUGCUCAUUAUUGGCCUCCAUGUCGCUGUGAUGAGCAUCCGGGGCGGGGCUACACGAGCGGAACUUGGAACCUGAUUGGACACCUCAGGUGCCCCAGUUGAUUGACAGGUCACUGCACGUCUCGUUGAAAGCACCGCAUUACGGAAAGGCAAAGGCGGGAGGCAGAAGGCUUUAAAAACACGCAUGGGUCGAGUGGACCGACUUUGAAUACGUCAUCUUGAAGUAGGUUUUAAAGUGGCUUCCUGAUGACUACGUGUUUUCAAAUAUUGACAGUGUUACUGCACAUUUAGAGAAGAGAUUUUGUCCCCAGUAGUUCCACAGUGCGAGUGGGCUAACCGUUAGCCGCUAAAGCUAUGAAAGGCUAUAACCUAGCGUUAGUGGCAAACGUGACGUUAGCCUGAAGCUAAUCGCACCAGGUUAGGAUAGUGUGGGGAAGCCACGUCAUAAUUAGCUUUUCUUAAAUGAGCUCGGUCCGCUCCCAUGUCUUACCAAAGCGCAAAGUACACUGUAAUGAAAGCUCGGAGAUUGUCUCGGUGUCCAUGUAGCUUGUUUGCUGUUGUGAAGGUGGAAAUUAAUGCCCAGUUACUUGGCGCUGACUAGCCUACACGAUCCAGUUUAAUUUCGUAAUAGCUGGGCUGGUAGUUGAUUUUAAACUAAGUUACAGCACGACCGUGGGGACAAAUGGUUUAAGAUUGUUCCUGGCGCAAUCUGUGUUAUUUUGUUUAGGGACAGAUGGCAAUGAAGGAGAAGGGAGAUAUUGCAGACUCCUUUUCCAAAGAACCUCCGAACCUCCCGCUAGCCGGGCCAGUCGGUGUAGUCAAACACAAGGACCCAGUCUACCAGCACCACCAGCUCAGAGCAUACAGAGGCAGUACAUUGCAGGCCCAGUUCAGACAUCGAAAAGUGUAGCCUCACAUAACGUAAUAAAAGUUUCAUCAGUUGCUGAGAGUGACACACAUACGUCUGCCUCUGGGGAGGAAGGCAGUGAGCCAGAGCUGCUCGGAGGAGAUGCCACCGAAGCCCCCACAUCCACAUCAAGCACCACUUACUGUGCAGCUGAAGGACGGAGCGGUAGGCCUGUGCUUCCUUAGCUAUCACUGAAGCGUGUUUUCAAGCAGCUAUUCAGACAUGAUAAAGCAUGGCAAACACAGGUGCUACUAGAGGCAACACUUAGCCUGAGGUCCGGAUUCAACUUCACUUAAAUUGAACAGAAGCUUUUCAUGUGAAAAUGACGGUUGUGCAAAUGGUCUACACAUACAACCAUAAAUUAGCCACAGCGCUUCAUCUCGGAUGGAAGUAACUGAGUAUUUAAUCCCAAGGCAUGUGUGUCCGUAACUACUUAAUAUGUAUUCUAGAUAUCUCAAGAUCCAGAGAGGAGGGUCCUGUUUCGCCAUGUCUGCAAAUGUCCCCAAAAUCCGCUUCUAUUUUGACUGGCACCGAUUUUCUAGACUUCAGGGUACUGUUUCAGCGGGUCAGGAAAUGCAAUGACCAAAUGCAUGUGAGUUACGCCAUCCCCUUCAUGUUACUCAGCCAAUCAAAUCUGUGCAUUCCAGGCGAUAAACACUGCGGUGUGCUGCGAGUGACAAACGGAAAGAUGAGCGAGCGAUGCAGGGAGAGAAGACAGAGAGACGACUGGGCUGGAGACAGACACAUCGCACUGAUCCAAAUGUGGAGACUGUGCAAUAGUCUAAUUGACGUGUUAAGUUGACUGUGUUAACGGUGUAAUAAGUUUCAUUGUUUAAUUGGUCAAAUUUCAUUAAUAUUGUGUCAAGUUUCAUUUUGUCCCAUGUGAAGACAGUGCCAAUGUGGAGGCUUUUUGUUGACACAGGAAAUGACGAUUAUUGAUAUUUAUUCUUAGAUAAUGUAUCAUCAUUUGUUGUGACAGAGAAGAAAAUAAAGCCUGUCUUCCAAUUCAGUGCAUGUGUGGCCUAAUGGUUAUUUUUGUGUCAGAAAUAUGAGCAUGAAAAAGUGCACAAAUGAAGAUGCCCUUACUCGUGCUAGCUUUGAAAGAAAUGGUAUUGGUGCACCCCUAGCCUAAAGCCUGAAUCAAGAAUGGCUCCACAACUAUAAAGGUCAAUAUGCAUGGUCUUGGUUUCUAUGGUGGGGUCAGACUUCAGAGAUAUUAGUCCUAGUGUCAGUAACAUUGUCAAUGUUACUAUGCCUGAGUAGACUGUGCUAAACAAAGGGGGACAUUUUUGUUUUUGUCCUUGCCUACAAUUUGUCUUAGAUUAGACAGUGGGUCACAACAUGAUGGCAACGAUUCCACGCACUGAGAUGCUCCUGCAUUCAUUCAGCAACGCCUUCACUGCAGCUGCAGCCAAGAAUAUGGGAAUUCUGUCAAGUACAUUGAUUCUGCAAGGAUUUAGUGAGGAAAUGAGAAGGCAGAUUCUUCUUUUAACUCAGUUCCACAUUGUUAUUAUUACUAUUAUUAUUAUUAUUAUUAUUAUUAUUGUUGUUGUUGUUGUUGUUGUUAUUUUAUUUAUUUAAUGUUGUACCUCUUGAAUGGGAAUCUGGCUACAGAUACAUUUUUAAUUUUUUUUUUUGGUAUGUAUUUAUACAUUUAGCAUGUGUAUCAUCAGAUUCUGUGAACAGUGUAAAAUCAAUUAAAACAACUCAAGUGACUAAUUUUGCCUCCACACUGAGAGAUAAUGCAAGAUUAAUGGGUCUCUGAGCUUCCACAGGUCAUCCUGGGAAGGCUGCAAGCCUGCAGUGCCACUGGGAGCCCAGUAGAUGGUAGCAGAGGUGCGUAGUGUCCUCACUCUGUUUACAUUGUGGGUCAGGUCCGGUGGAAAGAUGGCGUCCAUGUAAACAAAGGCAGCUCACGGCGAUGCAGUGCAGCAGCUCCAAAUGACCACGAAGAGGGUGGGGGCGGCUCUCUAGCGGGGAUAGCUUAGCUUUCAUCCCCCUUUCUCCCACCACCUACACUGAGAGGGUUAGCUGGGCAUCCCGAGGCUUUCUUGGUCAGUUUGUCAGCAGUGCCAGUUGCCCUCCCGAGGACCACCUGGGUCUGCUCAGCAGGUACAGUCUGAUCAUCAUUCCAGCUUGAGUGUUUGGUGAUUUACACAACACUGUUCAAAACAGUCCGUCAGCGGGCUCUUUCUGUAGUGACAGCACAGACCCUGCGCAGCUUAGCGUAAGAAAGCAUGUCUGGACGCGAACCUGCAACCUCCGUAUCUUAACCGUUGUGCGCAUGCGCAGAGCACUUUAAAAAUGUCAACGACUUAGACCGCUGGACUAUCGCAGCGGACGGCUCCGCGCUCUGGAAAAACGGGGAGGGGUCAUCUAGCGCGCUCGCAGCGUCAGCGUCUCCGACGUGCCUGACGUACAAGAGGAAUUAGCAAAUGCCGAAACACGGACUCAGUGACACCACUAUUAAAGAGCACAGUCUAACGACGUUAUGUCCACCUGCCACAUUCAUCAGGUACCUGUAAUCACAAGUGUUACAGCUGAAAUCACCAUUAAAUCAACUCUCACUGUCUGUUACCAGACCAUCACCGUGACAACCGAGAUCAACUGGGCCAACACAAAGAGACACACAUUUAUCAAUGAGUCAGUUAAAUACACACACGUCAUGCAGUCAAUUAUGAUAGAUAGACAGAUAG